UACGAAGGGGCGAGCGUUGUUCGGAAUCACUGGGCGUAAAGGGCGCGUAGGCGGCCCUCUUAGUCGCGUGUGAAAGCCCCCGGGCUCAACCUGGGAACGGCGCGCGAAACGGGAGGGCUGGAGUUCGGGAGAGGAGAGUGGAAUUCCCAGGUGUAGAGGUGAAAUUCGUAGAUAUUGGGAAGAACACCGGUGGCGAAGGCGGCUCCUCGUGGACCGAGACUGACGCUGAGGCGGCGAAAAGCGUGGGGAGCAAACAGG
rnacentral:rRNA from 1 species